GAUGAACGCUGGCGGCGUGCCUAAUACAUGCAAGUCGAGCGAACAGACGAGGAGCUUGCUCCUCUGACGUUAGCGGCGGACGGGUGAGUAACACGUGGAUAACCUACCUAUAAGACUGGGAUAACUUCGGGAAACCGGAGCUAAUACCGGAUAAUAUAUUGAACCGCAUGGUUCAAUAGUGAAAGACGGUUUUGCUGUCACUUAUAGAUGGAUCCGCGCCGCAUUAGCUAGUUGGUAAGGUAACGGCUUACCAAGGCAACGAUGCGUAGCCGACCUGAGAGGGUGAUCGGCCACACUGGAACUGAGACACGGUCCAGACUCCUACGGGAGACAGCAGUAGGGAAUCUUCCGCAAUGGGCGAAAGCCUGACGGAGCAACGCCGCGUGAGUGAUGAAGGUCUUCGGAUCGUAAAACUCCGUUAUUAGGGAAGAACAAAUGUGUAAGUAACUAUGCACGUCUUGACGGUACCUAAUCAGAAAGCCACGGCUAACUACGUG
rnacentral:rRNA from 1 species